CAGUCGUACCUAUGGGGUAAUCAGCCUUUUGGGUGUGAUUUUGUGGAGCGUGAGGAGUUAAACGCCUUCAUGCCUGUAUAUUCGUGCACUUUCGGGUGGUACUUGCCCGUAUGGUUGGUUAACCAUCAAUUUUGGUGGUCAUAAAAUGACUGGAGGAAUGUAGCUUUGGUCUCGUAUCGAAGUGUUAUAGACUCUGGUAGAUGUGAUGAUCGAGAUUGAGGACUGCAACGGAUACCCUUCGGGGCUACCUGUCUGAUCUCUG
rnacentral:rRNA from 1 species